CAGGAUAUUCAGUGCGCCGUCGGUUUCUGCUGCGUCGCUCGAAGUCGGCCGCGCGCUGCUCCAGGAAUCCGUCGAGUUGGUCGUGCCCUGUUUCUUCUCGCCCUUGUCACAGACGCACACGUCUGCAACGCGAGCUGCGAGACGAGUCAGCGAUAAGAGUCCGCAGAGCCGUACUACGAUGCAUAGCAUGCGCUUGUAUCGUAGACGUUAGCUCAGUUGUUAGAGCUCCCGCUUGUUAAUCUCGGGGUCCGCGGUUCAAGCCCACGUCUAUACUCUUUUUCGCUUUCCGACUCGUCUCCUCUCCGUCCGUUACACCCUCAUGCGCCCAGGAGAUCCUGCCUGCGGCUGCGCCUCUCUCUCCGAUCGGGCUGAUGCUCGCCCUCUGAUCGGGAUCGCCGUGCUGGGCCCGCUCCGUCCGCUACUCACCUCGUCGAAAGCGCCGGGUACCUCUUGCUGCUGUCGCAGCUAUCGGAAGAGUGACCAGGCUCGUUUCGUUGCCUGGUAUGUCGGCACCCCUCUCUUGGCCCUUCGGGGUGAGCUGAUGUUUGUUUCUCGGCGACUAGGCGCCGUUUCGGGUAUAGCGCUGGCUCUCGUGUCGCGCUAUACUUUCUCUCUCUGAUCUCUCUCGCACCUACCUUGCUUGUCCUAUGCUUGCUUCACGGGUGACUCCUGUCGCCUCGGUAAGCGUCUCGUAGGUGCGUGUCGUGUAGUGUCUGUGUGUGCGUAAGCGCUGCUUACGCGCUUGUAUGUGCUGUAUGCACGCUGCUUUAGGUGUGUGCGUGUGCCCUGUCACAAACCAAUAAGUCGAGAUGAAAAAACAAACACACAACCCAUACAAAGUCAUGAAAUGUAUAGUAUAGGUUACUAUCUGAAAUGCAGUUAUAACGAUUCACUAUGAAAAUAUGACUUUUAUAGAAGACCUGAAGCGUCAAGAUGGUAUGCUAAACAGUUGAGAAGUAUAGAAAAACAAAUAAGUGCUUUAUAUGCGAACCCUUUACCUAUGCCAGUUCUAUCUCAGACUCGAUUAAGAGAUUAUUAUGAUUCAAAAACGUGUCAUAUUUGUAAAAAAUUGUUGAAUGAUGAUGCGAAGGUGCGUGAUCACUGUCAUCUCACUGUAAAAUAUCGAGGACCUGCACAUGCUACCUGCAAUCUAAACUAUCAAGAUUCAAAAAUAGUUCCAGUUGUGUUUCAUAAUUUAAGUGGUUAUGAUACACACUUUAUUAUUUCUGAUAUAUCAAACCUUUUUCCAGGGCAAAUUGAUUUACUACCUCUGACAAAAGAAUAAUAUAAUUCAUUUACGAAGCAUGUAGAAGCAGACAAUAUAUUUAAUAUGCCAUGUAUUAAUAAAAAGGUCGUAGGACUUAUGAAAGAUGAAUGUAAUGGUCAGAUUCUUACAGAAUUUGUUGGAUUGAGAAGCAAAAUGUACAGUACACGUGUUGAUAAUCAAGGUAGUAUGAACAAAAAUCAAGGGUAUCAAAGAUUCAGUUGUAAAGAAAACCAUUGAAUUUAAUGACUACUUGGACUGUCUACGAAAUUCAUGCAUUCAGAGUCGAGAGAAGUACGCUAUAAGAUCCAAACUUCACAAGGUGGAGACUAUUAGACAGAGGAAGAUUGCUCUCAGUCCUUACGAUAAUAAAAGAUUUCUUCAAGACAAUACUACUGAUACGCUUGCCUGGGGACACUACAAAAUAUCGCGAAAUGGAAACGUCUGAUUCCAGCAAAGAGAAGCGUGUACGAUUUGAGGAAGAGCCAACCAUACGCUUGAUGUAUACAUGGAAAAUGUCGCAUCAUGACGCUCGACGUGGCAAGUGGGAGCAGGUCGCACGUAAUUGAGAACGUUUUAGGAUAAGAAUUUUACAAAUAAAUGAAAUUAUAAUGCCAGUACUUGUGAAAAAAAUUGAAGGAAAUUUAAAAUAAAUGAACAAUAAAUUUUA
rnacentral:lncRNA from 1 species